rnacentral:rRNA from 1 species
AUGGCUUCCUCUUGGAGGUACCCUCGCCGCGGGGAUGACUACGACGACGAGGAGGACGAUGAAGAGGAGGAGGAGGACGACGACUAUGAGGAGCAGGAGGAUGACGAUGAAGAGACAGAGGAAGGCAGCACCGAGGAGGAGAGGUCUCCAACCCCCUAUAACAUGGAGCUGCACUCCAUGACCGCAAAGGGCAUCCAACACUUGUGCUCCGAGCUCCUGGAAAUAAACGAGGCCUCCCAGGAAGACUUCCAAAGGAAUGUCCACCUAACCUACCUGUCCUUCCUCAGAUUGUUCCAAGAAGCUGGCGAUCUGGAGAAAGAUGUUGACCAUCUCAAACGCCAGGCCAUGGCGCAGAGGAGCCUCCUCCAACAUCUCACAAACAACCUUUACUCCUCAAUAAUACCGGAGAAUUCAACAAUUGAUCCAUCACCCAGCAGUAUCGCUGACACCGCCGUCGAUCCAUUGGAUGUUCUUCUAUCCGAGCACAGGAUGGACCAAGCCCUUGAGCUGCUUGAAGCGGAAGGACAGGCGCUAGAGAAACUGCACGGCGACGACGCCCAGAUGAUCACGUCGAGCAUGUCCGCGCUGUCGGCCCGGAGAGCCAGAGUCGCAGACCGCUUCGCCGCUCUAGCCAACAACCGGCGGACGCCACGGCAUGAGCUCCUCCAGGCGCUCUCCGGCCUCUGCAGCCUCGGCGAUGCCCAACGGGCGAACCACCUCCUCUUCAAGUUCUACAGCCCAGGAGGUGCCCUCUGGCGCGUCGAGGAGCUGAGGUCAUCAUCACACAGGAAUUGCAUCGGGGAGCUGGCGCACACGGUCUUCUCCUCCAUCCUCGAGGCAUCGAGGAGCUUCGUCGCACUGCACGGGCCGACACCGUCUCCCGAGCUCAGCCGGUGGGCGAGGGGGGAAAUUGAUGACUUUGUCGCCACGUUCCGCGACUACUUUGGGUCCGUAUCAGAAGCCGAGGCCGGCGACGGGCUGGCACUGGCGACUGAAGCCGCCAACUGCGCCGUCUCCUACUCUUCCAUGCUCGGCAUGGUCGUCUCGGUGGAAGAUGUCAAGGCAUUGAUUCGGCCUUGCAUGGAGGAGCUGCUGUCAACGUAUGCCAAGCAUCUGGAGAAGGUAGUCAGGUUGUUGGUUUGCUCCGACGCGUGGGUGCUGGGGAAGUUCCUCAGGUCAGGAGUCCUACGGCUACCUGCCGCUACCGGUGGCGGUGGCGAAACUGAGCACUGCUUGCUCACGGCCAGUGGAAGGAAAUUUGUCACGUUGAUGCAGGAGGUUGUGGAGGACGUGUCCCCACUGCUGCGCCUUGGGAUGAAGAGCUCAGUGCUGCAGCUCCUGGCCGGGUUGUUCAGAGACUACAUGCACUCCAUCCUAGCCGUCGACGGAGUCGACCAGCAGCAGCAGUAUAUGUGGCAGCUGUCCUUCCUCAUCAACUGCACCACGCUGGUCUCCUUGUUUCCGAUCAUUGCCCACAGCGUCUUCAUCAAGAGCAACAACCAAGCGUCGCAAGCUGAACCCGAACUCCACAGUUUGACCUUGUUCAUCAAGGAAGCAUCCGGCCAAGUAUGGACACACUUCUGCCAGCAGUUCAUACGAGACACCACGUCGACUCUGCAUGACAAACCAACAUCGACAGCGACAAGCUUCCUGCCUAUGAUGCCCUGUUCUGCAUUCCAGACGGUGUUCCUGCGGGUGAGGCAGUUGAGUGAUCUGUAUGGCACCAUCUUAGCCGGCAAAGAUGGAACCAUGAGAAAACUGCUGCAGGAGUUGAUGGAGGCCAUGAUAAUCUGGCUCCAGAGCAACCUAGAUCCCUGGAUCCAUCACGCACAGAAUCUACCCAACGACACACUUCUCCAUCAGAUCCAGUUAGAUGUUCAUUUUCUGCUUGAAAUUGCACACUUUGGUGGUUUCUCUUCCGACGGUAUCAGAACCUCCACAUUGGACCUGCUUAGCAGAGCACAAGAGAAAAUAUCAUUUUCGGAACCGAGUGUAAAGAGUGAUACCAUCCAUGAAGAGGCAUGGGCUACCAAUGCCGCGAAACGGGCAGUCCAAGCGCUGGUGGGAGGUGGAGUAAAUAGCUCCAGUUCACAAGAAAAAGAAGCAACUGUUCAAAGUGAAGAAGAUGUGUUCAACGCUGGAGGAGUUGAUGUGGGAAAGAAUGCUCAAGAAAGAGAUGAGGAGACCGAUGAUAACGUCAGCAGUUUAGAUCAGAACGACACACCGGAUAAUUCGGGCGAUAAACAUGCCUUGGGUGAAACCGGCUGCAAUGAGAAGUCCACCGAUGAAUUCAUGAGCAUCGAGAGUGAUGGUGGAGCAACUGAGGGCCACACCGGAGAUGGUGUGUUGCCGGGGAACCCAUUGAUGACAAGCACUGGAUUCCUUGAUUCAGAAAAGCAUAAGUUGCCGGCAGAGAACAUACCCGUAGAUGUCCAUGGUGAUGGAAUGGGCGGGAUAGGAGGCUCAGACGCUGUCGUGGAAGCAACUCCAUGUGAUCCACACGAAAAUGAAGAUGAUGAUGACAAGUGUACCUUGCCAGAACUUUUGCGGGACAAGAUGAACCCUAUCCAUGCGCUCAGUGACCAGAGUGCUACGGACACAACGAGCACGAGCUCCAUGGAAAUGGAAAGUGGUGAUCAACACUCUGAUCCGGGGACCGGUAGCAGCGGCGGCGCCAACAUCAGGAGGCGACGUGGUGCAGCUGCAGACAAGAGAGGUGGUGGUAAUAGAAAGAAGAGGGAGGACAUGAGAAGAAGCAAUAGGCCGAGAUGGCAAUGA